rnacentral:rRNA from 1 species
UUUCGCAAUGCCCGAAAGGGUGACGAAGCGACGCCGCGUGUGGGAAGAAGGCCUUCGGGUUGUAAACCACUGUCGGGAGUUAAGAAAUGCAAGGAUAUUAAUAGUGUCUUUGUUUGACUAAGGCUCCGGAGGAAGCCACGGCUAACUCUGUGCCAGCAGCCGCGGUAAUACAGAGGCGGCAAGCGUUGUUCGGAACUAUUGGGCGUAAAGAGCACGUAGGCGGCUAUGUAAGUCGGUUGUGAAAGCCUUCCGCUCAACGGAAGAACAGCAUCCGAUACUACAUGGCUUGAGUGCGGGAGGGGAGAGUGGAACUUCUGGUGGAGCGGUGAAAUGCGUAGAUAUCAGAAGGAACGCCGGCGGCGAAAGCGGCUCUCUGGCCCACAACUGACGCUGAGUGUGCGAAAGCUAGGGGAGCAAACGGGAUUAGAUACCCCGGUAGUCCUAGCCGUAAACGAUGGGCACUAAGUAGAGGGGUUUU